UGACCUCCUCUUCCCCUCCAGGGCAAGAUGGCGGCGUGGCAACGGUUACUAAGCGACGGGGGACUGAGGGGCGCCCUCGGGAGGCUCCGGUUUUCCUGCCUGAAUGAUGGAAGGAGGUCCUUCGCCCGCUGCUGUUUGAAAGAUGCUUUACAGCAGCCCCCAAAGAUUUUAUCCUGGAGGCUUUAUCCAGCCAGAAAUUUUGCCUCAGCUGCUACUGCCAGAUCCACAGAAGAAAAUAUACUAAAAUGGGGACUUCUGCUCAUCCCAAUAGGUUCAUUUUUCCUUGGCUCUUGGCAGGUUCGGCGGCGGGAAUGGAAGAGGAAGCUGAUUGCCGAACUGGACAGCAGGGUUACUGCCGAGCCAAUUCCACUGCCAGCAGACUUCUAUGAACUGAACGAAUUAGAAUACGUGCCAGUCAAGGUCAGAGGUCAUUUUGACCACACCAAAGAGCUGUAUGUGAUCCCGCGAACCCCAGUAGAUCCCGAGAAAGAAGCCAGGAAUGCCGGCCGUAUCAUGUCUAACGUAGAGAGCGGAGCCCACGUGAUCACUCCCUUUUACUGCACUGACCUCGGGAUAACGAUUCUAGUCAACAGAGGAUUUGUUCCCAGAAAGAAGAUGAAUCCAGAGACCAGAUUAAAGGGACAGAUCCAAGACGAUAUUGAACUCACCGGGCUGGUGAGGCUAUCAGAACCUCGGAGGGCUUUUGUGCCGGAGAACAACAUCGAAAAAAACGCUUGGUUUUACCGUGAUUUGGAUGCCAUGGCUAGAGUCACCGGAGCAGAGCCCAUUUUUAUCGACGCUGACUAUAGAAGCUCAGUUCCCGGGGGGCCAAUCGGGGGCCAGACCAGAGUAACUUUACGAAACGAGCACAUGCAGUAUAUACUUACUUGGUACACCUUAUGUGCAGCCACUUCCUUUUUGUGGUACAAGAGGUUCAUUCAGAAGGUGCCUUUCUGAAUCCUACAACUGCUGAAGAAUGUGGUUUAGGGGUGCGGCUUUAAAAAGUGGCCACCUAUCCCAAGUCGUAGAGUGGAGCAUUUGGAAGAUGAUUGGGGACUUCUUGAUGGACACCUCACCCAAGCCAGGAGUUGCUGGAAACCAGGCAGAGCAUCUCUGAAAAAUUCUUCAGGGAAGUUAAAAAAAACAAAACAUCUCCAACACUGUUGCAUAGAUUCUGGAGACUCAAUAUUUAUUCACUCCUAUGGUGCCUCUUCAAAAUGGCUUUAAGGAGCUCAGAAAUGCAAUCUCAAGAAAGUUUCGGAACCAAAAUCAACAGUGUCUGUUUUCUCCAAAUGGAAAUAUCCCUGCAUUUGUCCAAAGACUGAAUAAACUGCAAGAAAACAAGCUCAGAAGCACCAAGGACUCCCAAGCCAAACAAAUUAUGAAGAUGUAAUGCAGUUUUCCUCGAAUUCCCUGCAUGAUCAGCAAAUAAGGCCCGCAUCCCAUCCAUCUCCUUCUCUUUC